GGAUGUGAGGGUAAUCUGGCUCUAACAUCUGUCACCCCAUUGAUUGUCAGGGUUGAUUUGGCUGAUCUGGCUGGCUAGGCAGGUGUCCCUUUCCUUCCUCACCGCUCAAUGUGCAUCACUCCUGAAUCUGCAUGCUCAGUCAAAGAGGACGACCACCUCCGAUAGAGGAGGACCGUUUCCUCAGUCAAGGGUAGCUGCCCUCCCCAGCUAGAACCUCCAGACAAGCUCUCAAAUACAUGAGUCUUUGGAGGAAACCAUAGAUCUAAACCAUAAUACCUUCCCUCUUCUCUUGGAAACCAGGCUGAGAAAGA
ensembl:misc_RNA 7SK 7SK RNA